rnacentral:rRNA from 1 species
GACGAACGCUGGCGGCGCGCCUAACACAUGCAAGUCGAACGGAGCUGAGAGAAGCUUGCUUUUCUUAGCUUAGUGGCGAACGGGUGAGUAACGCGUGAGUAACCUGCCCUGGAGUGGGGGACAACAGUUGGAAACGACUGCUAAUACCGCAUAAGCCCACGAUCCGGCAUCGGAUUGAGGGAAAAGGAUUUAUUCGCUUCAGGAUGGACUCGCGUCCAAUUAGCUAGUUGGUGAGGUAACGGCCCACCAAGGCGACGAUUGGUAGCCGGACUGGGAGGUUGAACGGCCACGUUGGGACUGAGACACGGCCCAGACUCCUACGGGAGGCAGCAGUGGGGGAUAUUGCACAAUGGGGGAAACCCUGAUGCAGCGACGCCGCGUGGAGGAAGAAGGUUUUCGGAUUGUAAACUCCUGUCGUUAGGGACGAUAAUGACGGUACCUAACAAGAAAGCACCGGCUAACUACGUG